GACGAACGCUGGCGGCGUGCUUAACACAUGCAAGUCGAACGAAGAGCGAUGGAAGCUUGCUUCUCUCACUCUUAGUGGCGAGUGGGUGAGUAACGCGUAAUCAACCUGCCCUUCAGAGAGGGACUACAGUUGGAAACGACUGCUAAUACCGCAUGCGCCCCAAUCUCGGAAUCGGGUCUGGAUGAAAGGUGGCCGCGAUUUAUAAGCUAUCACUGAAGGUGGGGAUUGCGGCGGAUUAGCACGUUGGAGGGGUAACGUCCCAGCACGGCGAGGAUCAGUAGACGGUCUCAGUGGAUGAACGGCCACCUUAGGAGUGAACCGGGGCCCAGACGACUACGGGAGGCAGCAGUGGGGAAUGUGCCGCAAUGGACGAAAGUCUGACGCAGCGACGCCGCGUGAGUGAUGACGGCCUUCCGGUUGUAAAGCUCUCUUAAUCGGGACGAAUGGUUGUUGUGCGAAUAGUGCGAGGAUUGACCGGAACCGGAAUAGAAAGACACGGCAAAUUCCGU
rnacentral:rRNA from 1 species